CUCUUCUCAGUGAGUUCUUUUCUAUAACUGGUGGCCCAUUAUGGAUUCACAUAGGAAGAAGAGACAACUCACAGAGCUAGCAUGCACUUAUUUCUGUCUUUGGAAGACUACUUUACUAUUUUAUGAGACAUAG
rnacentral:snoRNA from 1 species